rnacentral:rRNA from 1 species
GAGUUUGAUCCUGGCUCAGGACGAACGCUGGCGGCGUGCUUAACACAUGCAAGUCGAACGGUAAGGCCCCAGCUUGCUGGGGUACACGAGUGGCGAACGGGUGAGUAACACGUGGGUGACCUGCCCCGCACUUCGGGAUAAGCCUGGGAAACUGGGUCUAAUACCGGAUAGGACCGCACCGUGAGGGUGUGGUGGAAAGUUUUUCGGUGUGGGAUGGGCCCGCGGCCUAUCAGCUUGUUGGUGGGGUAAUGGCCUACCAAGGCGGCGACGGGUAGCCGGCCUGAGAGGGUGGACGGCCACAUUGGGACCGAGACACGGCCCAGACUCCUACGGGAGGCAGCAGUGGGGAAUAUUGCACAAUGGGCGGAAGCCUGAUGCAGCGACGCCGCGUGGGGGAUGACGGCCUUCGGGUUGUAAACUCCUUUCACCAUCGACGAAGGUUUUCUGACGGUAGAUGGAGAAGAAGCACCGGCUAACUACGUGCCAGCAGCCGCGGUAAUACGUAGGGUGCGAGCGUUGUCCGGAAUUACUGGGCGUAAAGAGCUCGUAGGUGGUUUGUCGCGUCGUCUGUGAAAUUCCGGGGCUUAACUCCGGGCGUGCAGGCGAUACGGGCAUAACUUGAGUACUGUAGGGGAGACUGGAAUCCCUGUUGUAGCGGUGAAAUGCGCAGAUAUCAGGAGGAACACCGGUGGCGAAGGCGGGUCUCUGGGCAGUAACUGACGCUGAGGAGCGAAAGCAUGGGUAGCGAACAGGAUUAGAUACCCUGGUAGUCCAUGCCGUANACGGUGGGCGCUAGGUGUAGGGGUCUUCCACGACUUCUGUGCCGUAGCUAACGCAUUAAGCGCCCCGCCUGGGGAGUACGGCCGCAAGGCUAAAACUCAAAGGAAUUGACGGGGCCCGCACAAGCGGCGGAGCAUGUGGAUUAAUUCGAUGCAACGCGAAGAACCUUACCUGGGCUUGACAUAUACGGGACCGGGCCAGAGAUGGUCCUUCCCUUGUGGCUCGUAUACAGGUGGUGCAUGGUUGUCGUCAGCUCGUGUCGUGAGAUGUUGGAUUAAGUCCCGCAACGAGCGCAACCCUUGUCUUAUGUUGCCAGCACGUAAUGGUGGGGACUCGUGAGAAACUGCCGGGGUCAACUCGGAGGAAGGUGGGGAUGACGUCAAAUCAUCAUGCCCCUUAUGUCCAGGGCUUCACACAUGCUACAAUGGUCGGUACAGUGGGUUGCGAUGCCGUGAGGUGGAGCUAAUCCCUGAAAGCCGGUCUCAGUUCGGAUCGGGGUCUGCAACUCGACCCCGUGAAGUCGGAGUCGCUAGUAAUCGCAGAUCAGCAACGCUGCGGUGAAUACGUUCCCGGGCCUUGUACACGCCGCCCGUC